rnacentral:rRNA from 1 species
AGCAGCCGCGGUAAUUCCAGCUCCAAUAGCGUAUAUUAAAGUUGUUGCAGUUAAAAAGCUCGUAGUUGAAUUUCGGGAUCAGUACGUCGGUCGUGCCUCCGGUAUGUACUGGUGUCACUGAUUCCUCCCUUCUGAAGAACUAUCAUGCCAUUAACUUGGUGUGGUGGGGAAUCAGGACUGUUACUUUGAAAAAAUUAGAGUGUUUAAAGCAGGCUCGCGCUUGAAUACAUUAGCAUGGAAUAAUGAAAUAGGACGUUUAUCCUAUUUUGUUGGUUUCUAGGAUUGACGUAAUGAUUAAUAGGGAUAGUUGGGGGCAUUAGUAUUCAAUUGUCAGAGGUGAAAUUCUUGGAUUUAUUGAAGACUAACUACUGCGAAAGCAUUUGCCAAGGAUGUUUUCAUUAAUCAAGAACGAAAGUUAGGGGAUCGAAGACGAUCAGAUACUGUCGUAGUCUUAACCAUAAACUAUGCCGACUAGGGAUCGGAUGAUGUUAAUUUUUUAAUGACUCAUUCGGCGCCUUACG